CCUACGGGUGGCAGCAGUGGGGAAUAUUGCACAAUGGGCGCAAGCCUGAUGCAGCCAUGCCGCGUGUGUGAAGAAGGCCUUCGGGUUGUAAAGCACUUUCAGCGGGGAGGAAGGCGUUAAGGUUAAUAACCUUGUCGAUUGACGUUACCCGCAGAAGAAGCACCGGCUAACUCCGUGCCAGCAGCCGCGGAAAUACGGAGGGUGCAAGCGUUAAUCGGAAUUACUGGGCGUAAAGCGCACGCAGGCGGUCUGUCAAGUCGGAUGUGAAAUCCCCGGGCUCAACCUGGGAACUGCAUUCGAAACUGGCAGGCUAGAGGCUUGUAGAGGGGGGUAGAAUUCCAGGUGUAGCGGUGAAAUGCGUAGAGAUCUGGAGGAAUACCGGUGGCGAAGGCGGCCCCCUAGACAAAGACUGACGCUCAGGUGCGAAAGCGUGGGGAGCAAACAGGAUUAGAUACCCUAGUAGUC
rnacentral:rRNA from 1 species